AAGGUUUUAAGUUAAUAAAACUAAUAGCCUUCAAAGCUGUAAAUAUAGACCAAUUCUUUAAACCUUA
rnacentral:tRNA from 1 species